CGCUCCCCUCGAGCCCACCCUUCACAAUGGGUCAAAAGUCUAGAGUAUUACAGAAAAUGAUGACCACUUGCAAGGAAUUGCUUCUACAUUUGAGAAAGGAAUGAAGAAUAUUUUUAAACUCCUAAAGUUGAUUUUAAGGCCAUUAGAAUAAUUUGAAAGUUUGCUUCAGCCUGAAGCAAAGCAACAGGUAGCAAGACAGAGUGAAGAUGUGUCAUGAUACACAAGGCAUGAAACUUGUUUAGUGCUGUUCAGAAGAUCAUGGUAAGAACAACACCAAAAUGUUAAGCAGAAGCAUGUGAAAAGAGUUGUUGCAAAGAAACCAGCAACAUCCGCAGCAGUGCAUGCCUGUAUUUCAGCAACAGACCAUUUCAUUAAAACUAAAACAAAUCAAAACAUGAUCUAUCAGGUCAGGUUCCUGCCUGGGAUCUGACUUGUUGGGCAAUUACAUCAGCUGGGAAUACUACUACAUAUUCAUUACGUGAUGAGAAUAC